AUCGAUAAUACGAAGCACUUCCUGCAACGAUGACCACCAAAGCAAACGUUACAACGAAAAAGAUCGCUGCAGUUUUCACAUCAGAAUGGUGGAUGGCUUGAUUAUUUCGAAUUCGAACAGCUGGAGAUUCAGACGAUGGAUAAUCAUUUUUCUGCGUCAUUGGAAUCUGUUCGCGAGUGAUUGGAUUCAGAUUCGUUGGAUAUUACGUGAUCAAAUUCCAUGAAAUACUCCACCGGAUGUUUUGUAACACUUGAUUUGGCUGUCGGUGAGUGAACUGGCUGAUUUAU